AUUGAACGCUGGCGGCAUGCUUUACACAUGCAAGUCGAACGGUAACAGGCCUUCGGGUGCUGACGAGUGGCGAACGGGUGAGUAAUGCAUCGGAACGUACCCAGAGGUGGGGGAUAACGCAGCGAAAGCUGUGCUAAUACCGCAUGUGAUCUGAGGAUGAAAGCGGGGGACCGAGCAGCAAUGUUUGGCCUCGCGCCUUUGGAGCGGCCGAUGUCGGAUUAGCUAGUUGGUGGGGUAAAGGCCUACCAAGGCGACGAUCCGUAGCUGGUCUGAGAGGACGACCAGCCACACUGGGACUGAGACACGGCCCAGACUCCUACGGAAGGCAGCAGUGGGGAAUUUUGGACAAUGGGCGCAAGCCUGAUCCAGCAAUGCCGCGUGCGGGAAGAAGGCCUUCGGGUUGUAAACCGCUUUUGGCAGGAACGAAACGGUGUCCGCUAAUACCGGGCGCUAAUGACGGUACCUGCAGAAUAAGCACCGGCUAACUACGUG
rnacentral:rRNA from 1 species